GCAAAAUCAUCAAAAAAGCUCACAUGUUCCGCCGUUCCGCAUUCACGAUUUUUUGUUCCGCCAAGUCUGAAUUCCGACACUAAAAAAAAAUUGCCAUUUUAUCAUUAUUUAUUAAUAGUGCGAAUUGAAAAUACUGAGUGCAAAAUAAAAUAUAUAUAGGUCUGUGUUUAUUGUUUACAUUUCAUCUACUUCCGGACCCGGUGUGUCCUAAAUUUACGAAGAAAUGGUUGAAGACUAGAUGAGAUCUACAUCUAGUUCUAGACAUAGAUCUCUAGAUCUACUGAUCUAGUAGUCUAGGUCUAGAUAUUAGAAUUAGAUCUAUUCUUAGAAUCUACCUCCAAGAAUGAAAUCAGCUCAGCCUUGAGUUGGACGACAUGCUUUAACACUUUUCUCCUGGAGAGCCAACAAACGUUGGUGUGAUACAGGAGACAUUAGUAGUCUGAAUCCAUUGCUUCACAAAGCUCUGAGGAAAGUCAGAAUGCAAGCGGUCGAGAUUUGAGGAAGUUUACAACUUCAAUCACUUGAUCCAGAACAGACAUCAAAUAUUUGAAGGCAAGAGCUUCUCUGUGGAUCAUGCAGUGAACAACUAAUACAUUUGGAUUUUCUUGACGCACAAGAGUGAAGAAUCCCUUUCUAUUUCCCUGCAUGGAAGGACAGCCAUCGGUGCAAACGCUGACACAGUUUGUCUCCACUGUACUUUGAAUAGCAAAAUGUUUUCGUUCACCACUUAAAAAUAUCUUCGCCUUUGGUCGUAGUUGGUGGCGAUUUUAUUGUUUACCAUGAAGUUGUCUAAUUUUCAAAUUUUACUGACCAAGUUUUGUACAGUGACUGAUCCAUCUGCAGUUUCCGAACCAGUAACUGAUAUCUCAAAAAAAUAUUGCUUUACUGAUGGUGUCUGGUCACCUCAGAUGAUCAACAUGAUUUGUUCAUUGAAAGACACUUGAAGGUGUAAGUUGUAAAAGGUUUUGAAAGACUUGCCAAAGCAAGGCAUUCUUGACAGGGAUAAACAUUGGGAGCAGCUCUAGCUGACUCAGCUCAGAGGAUGACAUCACAGUUAAUUGACAUCUUUCUGUUAACAAUGCAUGGAUUAUCUUAUCUUCUUCAUUCUAGGGGAAUUAUGCAUUAAGUGAAGACAUCUUGCUGUAGAAGAGAAGAAAAAUUCAGAUAUUCCACAUGAUUUACAAUAUGGCUUUGAUUGUCUUAUGUUAAUGGCUGGUAAAGAACUGAAACAUGUAGGCUGGAGAAUCACUUGAUAGAAAUCAAGAUGUUUAGUCACUUUGGGAGCAGUGAUCUUGAGAUUUCGAUGCUAGAUACUCUCAGAUUUGAAAGCCGGUAUCUUGGAUAUUUUCUUAGCUCCUCUAGAUCAAGAUGGCAAAGAACUUUAUAAGGAUAGGUCUCCCAUCCAUCACACAACAUUCAAGCACCAAUGGGUUUCUUUCAAGGAGUUGAAGAUAAGGUAGUUCCCCUUAACAAAGCUGAGAUGAGGAAGUUAAAGCAAAAGGACUGCAAUGUUUGUUUCUAGGACCAGACACAAGAGAAUUCGACAACAUAUGUAUCAGAAGAUCAAAAUCAGAAACUGAAAUCUGCCCAUUUGGAGUGUCACCAGAGAAUGCUGACCAUCUCCUCCAAAACUGCUCUCUUUACCAAGAGGCUGUACAUGACACUGGCCCCAAAACACCCCAAUAGAAAGAAAACUAUAUGGAGAGUUCCCUGAUUUGGAAACCACUGCGAAAAUAAUCUCAUAUACUGGUCCAGUCAUCUGAAUGCUCCAAUAAAAAAAUGAGAAGGAAGAAGAAAGAAGAUUGUAUGUACCAUUUUUGUUUGUUUGAGGAUGGGGAGAAAAGUGUUCUUAGAAUUCAAACACCAAAAGUAUGUGUCUUUAUGAAUUCAAUGUAAUUGAUACUAGGCUUUUUGGGCUGAAAAUAAAAUGCAGGAAAUUUUAUUGGAAGUGCAGAAAAAAAAAAGAGUUUUUAGCCAAAAUAAACAAUGUAUAGCCUGAGAACAAAUCAGGUGGAAGAACCAAGGGUAAUGCUAGUAUACUAUAGAAGUAGUACCUUUUUUUUAUGCUUGCAACUUCAUUGAUGCAUAAGUGUCACAAACUGCUUGUUAAUGUGAUAUGAAACAUAAUUUAUUUUUUUUUGGUACACAUAUAAUCACUCUAAAAAAAUUAUUUCUAAGAUAGAUAACUGUCUCUAGUAACCUGCUAGUGGACCAUGAUGAACCUUUUUCUAUCUUGCUUUGUAUGAUAUAAACUUUCCUAGUUUUGACUUUAAAUUGUCAUUCUAGUCGUGUCAGUUAUGCUUAUAGGCUGUUAGACAAAAAUAGUGAAAACAAGAGUACAUAACAUUUUCUAAAGAAAUUUUAAUUUUGCAU